GGAAGUCAAGAAACUGUUUUUUAACUUUUAACUAUAAAAGUUAAGAACUGAUUUUUAAAUAAGGACUUUAAGAACUGGUUUUUUGCUUUUUUAGUUAAAAAUUAAGAAACAGUUUCUUAACUUCU
rnacentral:pre_miRNA from 1 species